GACGAACGCUGGCGGCGUGCUUAACACAUGCAAGUCGAACGGUAAGGCCCUUUCGGGGGUACACGAGUGGCGAACGGGUGAGUAACACGUGGGUGAUCUGCCCUGCACUUUGGGAUAAGCCUGGGAAACUGGGUCUAAUACCGAAUACACCUCGCUGGCUGCAUGGUUGGUGGGGGAAAGCUUUUUGCGGUGUGGGAUGGGCCCGCGGCCUAUCAGCUUGUUGGUGGGGUGAUGGCCUACCAAGGCGA
rnacentral:rRNA from 1 species